UACGGGGGGGGCAAGCGUUGCUCGGAAUCACUGGGCGUAAAGCGCACGUAGGCGGCUUUUUAAGUCAGGGGUGAAAUCCUGGAGCUCAACUCCAGAACUGCCUUUGAUACUGAGAAGCUUGAGUCCGGGAGAGGUGAGUGGAACUGCGAGUGUAGAGGUGAAAUUCGUAGAUAUUCGCAAGAACACCAGUGGCGAAGGCGGCUCACUGGCCCGGUACUGACGCUGAGGUGCGAAAGCGUGGGGAGCAAACAGG
rnacentral:rRNA from 1 species